UCCACCCACUGGAAUUUCAACUCCCAAUUCCCUACGACCUCCUGGUAUUUCCAGCUGCUCAGCCAUGGAGGACAGUGUAACGAGUGAGGCAGCUCAGUUGCAACACUUUUCAGGCUAAAAAAGCCUUGUUCUUCAGCCAAGACAGCAACACCGAGCGUUGAGCACCGGAGCAAUCCCAGAAGUGAAACAUCGUGGAUAUAGAUUACAGCUGUCUGUGACUUAAACUGCUCACAGCCUCCAAUGGGUAAAAGUCAAAGAUCAUGGACCAUGAGGUAACAGGGGGCUGAUGUUGGCUGAGAAGCAGGGUACACCUGGACAGCUCUGCCUCAAGUUGUUGGACAGACAGACAGACAGACAGACAGACGGAUAGAUGGAUGGAUCAGUGGACCAACAUCGCCACCUCUGGGCCCUGCAGUGAUCAUUUUAUCACACAACUGAUCAGUGCUCCUGCUUUCUAGAAAAUAAUAUGUUUUUAUCACAUUAAACUGGAAAGAAUGUGUGUACAGACUAGAUGC